rnacentral:lncRNA from 1 species
AUCGACCUAUCAUUUAUUUUAACCCGUUUCACUUCCAAAAAACCAUUAUCGAACCCAAAGUUCACCCCAUGCUUCUCUAAUCUCUUUCUCUCCUCUUUUCCUUCUCAUUGUUAUAACUAUGGCCGAAAUUUCCACUGGCGAACUUGUUGGGAAACGAUAGAAAAUCUUCAGAUUUGGAAAAAUAUGUACAAGAGGUCAAAGAUUUAAAAGCUUUGGUUGGGAUUUUACUGGAUCUGAUCAUGAAUAUAUUUUUUCGGCGAGCACUGCUUUAUAUUUUCAUUUUUUUAAUUUUUUUUCACAUCUGGAGACGGAAGAGAUAGUUAAAACUUUGACCAUCCAUUUUUUACAGCUCCGGCAAACCUGCGGCGACUUCUGAUCCUACACUGCUGCCUCGUCCCUUGUUUCUUAUGUUUGUCACGAACAAGUGAUUUUGCAUAGUUAGAGGAGAUUUUUUAUUGGUACAUUGAUCACCUUUAUAUUUUUUUCCACUGAAUGAAAAGGGCUCUUUUAGAAUUGGAAUGUAAUGUUCAUCCUCAUGAAGCUCUAUCUCUUUGACUUUUCAUUUGAGG